rnacentral:sRNA from 1 species
GAAUAUACCUUGAAGGCAAAAAGCCGAUUUUGUGUCCUCACACGCGAGGUGAGCCCAUUCGAAAUUACGACUCAGUUUUUCGUCGCAAGAAAGAGUGAACAAUUUAUCGAUAUGACAUAUUAAAAUUAUUAAACGAAUAAUUCAUCAACGCCACCCCUAUUGUUACAUGGAAUUUUCGUUUAUAAAAACGAGAAAAAGAGGAUAAAAGGAUAAAGUCAGCCUUCUGACUUCAAGAGAGCAGAAGUCUGACCGUCUGAAAAAAACGCCACGAUAUCUUUCACCUAA